GUGCUUGCUUUGGCAGUGCAUACACUAAAGUAAGAAUGAUACAGAGAUUAGCAUGGCCCCUGUGCAAAGAUAGCAUACAAAUUCAUUAAGCAUUCUAUAUUUUU
ensembl:snRNA U6 U6 spliceosomal RNA